GUCCAGAAGUUCCCUUAGCAACAGGCAAGUUUUUCUUUUCUUUGCUGGGGUAAUUUUGUGCUUUCUUGAAGUCAAUCGUUUAAGUUUCCUUGGUUAAUUCAAAGAUCAAUCUAAUUAUGAAGAAUUCUAAAUAUUUGUAGUAUGAAAAUUGUUGAUAAACCUUACUUUUGAGUUUUUCUGGGAUUAAUGCUAACAACCCGUUUUUUACAUGAAUGUUAUUGGAUAGUUUUUGGUUUGUUGCAUAGAGAAUUUCAGCGGUGAAAACAAAAAGGAUUAUGAUUUUAGGCAAUUUAUGAUAAAUUAGAAUUGGCAGGCUUUACUAUGGUCAAAAAUUCAAGGGCCAUUUAACAAGUAUUUCAUCAUCUGCUUGUGAUGAUCCAUAGGUACAAAGGCUGCUCUUUUUCCUGGAUGGCUCUGUUCUAGUUGCUACUGCAUUAGCAUUUUCAGAAAUUGGUAUAAGGAUUUUUAUUGUUCAUGUCUUUCAAUCAGAGAAUAGAGCCUCAGUGUUCUCUGGGAAAAUUUUAAACAGUUUUAGAAUUUUGAUGAUAUGCAAGAACAUUGUUAAAUGUAGUGUUUGCCAAUUGUAAAUGUUUGAUAGAGGAAUUUGCAUUCUUAUAUUUUGUUUUUGAGCAACAAUUGGAACACAAUUUUUUGUUGAUUCGGCUCAACUGGGACUUGAACUUGAGACCUAAUCUGGAGAUAAUUCCAGUACUUAUUAGUUGGAAUACAGAAUUUUAGUACUAAUAAAUAAAAAAUAUCGUCAACCUGCUUGUGCAUAAGUUAUUUAAUUAUGUUCGUCCUUCCCACCCUAAUUGUGAGGUUCUUUUAGACGAUUUUGUUAAAAGUAUUUAUGUUUGUCCAACUUGAAGUUGAUAUUAGUUAUGGAUUUAUGACAGAGAUGGUUCAAAAUGAUGCU
rnacentral:misc_RNA from 1 species